rnacentral:rRNA from 1 species
GACGAACGCUGGCGGCGUGCCUAAUACAUGCAAGUCGAGCGGACUGAUUAAGAGCUUGCUCUUAUGACGUUAGCGGCGGACGGGUGAGUAACACGUGGGCAACCUGCCCUGUAGAUCGGGAUAACACCGAGAAAUCGGUGCUAAUACCGGGUAAUAUCUGAGAUCACAUGAUCUUAGGUUAAAAGAUGGCUCCGGCUAUCACUACAGGAUGGGCCCGCGGCGCAUUAGCUAGUUGGUAAGGUAAUGGCAUACCAAGGCGACGAUGCGUAGCCGACCUGAGAGGGUGAUCGGCCACACUGGGACUGAGACACGGCCCAGACUCCUACGGGAGGCAGCAGUAGGGAAUCUUCCGCAAUGGACGAAAGUCUGACGGAGCAACGCCGCGUGAGUGAUGAAGGGUUUCGGCUCGUAAAGCUCUGUUGUUAGGGAAGAAACAGUACCGAACGAACUAGGUCGGUACCUUGACGGUACCUAACCAGAAAGCCACGGCUAACUACGUG